rnacentral:lncRNA from 8 species
UGGGUGUUUGUCAGACUCCUUGUUUCUUGCAUCUCCAGUAGACGGAGCAGUAAGUGUCUGUUCCUCUCCAUCUCACUCCUUCUAGACCCCUGUAGAUGCUCUCAUCGUACUAACCCUGCCCCUGGAACUAGAAUGGUCACUCAUCGCAGUCACACACCCACUGGGAGGCAAACUUCAGCAGGGAAAAGUUUGGCUCUCACGCAUCACUAACUUUUCUGAUGUUUCCCGUGCUCGUGUUAUUCAUGAAAUCCAUUUCCUUUCUGCAUAGUCAAAAUGUGAUCAUCCUUCAUACAUACUGAAAAUAACCUACCCCCAAACCAUUCUUCCUGAUUUCAUUGUUGUGCUGAUCACAUCGCUGAUUCUUCUUCAUGGUGUCUCAAAUCCCCAAAUCACUUGUACUUUUAUGUAAUCAAAGUAAGGCUGCUAAAAGAACAAUUCAAUAGGGAUUGUGCUUGUUAUUUAAAUUAUGACUUUUUCUUUUCUAGAACCCACCUCUCUACUGGCUGGUGACGUGGCCAUGGCACAGCAGGCAGGACUGGGGAGAAACAGCUCCACUGGAAAGGGCAGGAUCUUUACUGGGACCAGUACAAGAAUGGAGCAGCAGGGCAGCACUCCCUCCACCUGGGCCCUUCUGAUGUUACCUCCACACCCAUGGUCAGGGCUGAUGAUAACGACACUACAGAGCUGAUGGAGGAGGCAGCCCAGGUGGUCCCGUGUCCCAGGGGGCUGAGACACUCUGCCUGUCACCCACUAACCCUCCAACCCGUAGCCCAGGACAGCAGCUCCUCAAAGGGGUGGGACCAGGUCUUAAUGAAAAGUUAAUUUUACAGUGUUUUAGCCAGACAAGAAAUAUGAUUUUGAAAUCUUAAAAUGUUAUUAGGUCCAUUGAGUCGUGCAGUAAAUUCACAUUCACUUCACAUUUUCCUCUGAGAAUGGACUAUAAUGUUUGUGUAUUUUUUGUGUUACUUACCAAGACACUCCAACCAUGGAUGAGCGUAGCACAGCUGGGCCCUGCCGCCCCUUCUCACACCAUGCCAAAGAUCCACAGCAUCAGUGUGACCUGUUGGCCCUGUAGGACUCCAGCUUCGAGGUGAUCUCCCCGGGCAGCCGCUCCUCCUCUGGGUUCUGUGAGAAGGAGGUUUUGGGUCAUGGGGGGUCCAGUCCGGAGGAUGGGACAUCCCAGUCAGCCCAGGUUGUGAACUCAGCCAUCUGCUACCUGGACCUGGACACCAACGGGGACUUGUUGACUCGGGCUAUGGCAGGGCCGGACCUGAGUGGAAGUAUAGAGCUGCCUAUUGUACCUCAGAUGAUAACGCCAAGCUCCUGCACACCCCUUCCCCGUACAUGGUAGAGUCCGACCCGCUUUUUAGUUUUUUCUCCUCCCUCCAGAGGUGCAGUGUGACAUCCGUAGGGCUGAGCUCCAUGGAGGCAGGUGUGUGUUUGGUGUGUGGCUGAGCAGGCCUGGCCAGCAGGAUGCCAUGUUGCAUUAUAGGCACAUCUACAGCAACAGUGCUUCACUACAGGACGCAUCAGCACUAAGUCUGGUAGAGGUCAGUAUACAGACAAUGGAAAUUCCUGAUUGAUCUGGAAAAAAACUAGCUUUUAUAUAAUAAACAGAUAGUUGAAAUAUUUUUCUUUCCCCCGUCCAGUAAACAUAUGAGACUAUUCCACUUUU